UGCUAAUAUAUAUAAUAUAUAUAUAUAUAUAUAUAUAUAUAUAUAUAUAUAUAUAUAUAUAUAUAUAUAUAAUGCAAAAAAAGAUAAAGGUCCUAAAAUGGGCUAAGGAAAAACUACAUUUAUGAAUUUUUUUCUUUGGAGGAAAUUUGACUAUGGGCGUAUUUUCAUGAGAUUGAUUAAGCAGUGCUACCCGUUAUUUCUACUAUUACACAAAUAGAAAUCAGGUAAAUCACAUCUAGUUAGGAAUUCAUCACUUAUUGCUUUGUCAUGUUGUGCCUGGUUAGUAUAUGUGUCUGUAACAUCUACACAAACAUAAUUUUCACACAUAAACACACAUUUCCAGUGAGAGAGAAGAUGUGCUUGAAGUAUCAACAAUACACUGUUUACAGGUUGUGCUCUUAAUACGGUACUACUAAACUACCACAACCAUUCACUCUCAGCUAACUCCUCUAUGACAGUUUCUCAGUCUCUCUGUCUCUCUCUCAGCAAUACAAACACAGCACACGGUCCCAUAUGAUGCCUUUCUGCUGGAGCCUAUAGGGCACAUAUGAGAGAGCUGUGUUCCAUUACACACACACACACACACACACACAAGCUGAGAGCUGUGUUACACACUCACACAGCUGAAAAGGACAGUUCACCCAAAAAUUUAAAUUCUGUCAUCAUUUACUUACCCUCAUGUCAUUCCUUACCUGACUUUCCGGCCACAUACACACUGCAGGUAAAUUCGGUUGUCAGUUCACAUUUGAAUUCUUAAUCCUGUUCUCUACAUACACAGUUAAGCCAUUUACCACCAAAUUAACUCCUGAAAAAUUCAGCCGCAUUUACAAAAAUUCUAUAUAGUGUGAAUUGAACAGGGUUGCCAGGUCUUGUGAAACAAAGCCAGCCCAAUUGCUGAUCAAAACUGGCCCAUUUUUUCUGCGGUUUUCCUUUCAUCAUUAGCAACACUGGUACAAAACCAAACUCAACAACUAGUUGUUCAUGACGUAUUUAAACCCGUGUCUUUUCUUUAUGUGCAAUGCAAGAAAUCACAGUGAACAAGGUAUGGUUUGACUCAUUAGUGUUGCCAGAUCUUGCUAGAAAAAACAGCAAAUAACAACAAGCCCGUAAUGAGCUUAAAUACAAAUUCUUCUAAAUAAGCCAUAUACCAAAAUAUUGUGACAUGCACCUGCGUGCUUUAUUUACUCUACAAUCUGGAUCACUUUAUGAGUGAAGACUAGGCCAAAGACACUUAAUAAAGCAUUGCUUACAAUAAGUGGACAACCCUUUAAGAACGUGACCUGCAAAUCGGCAUUCCAACGACGGCUCUGUUAGCAGUGGUUUAAUUAAAAUAGACAAACUAUUACUUUGUAGUAUUACUUUGAUGAGGGGAAAUAAGUGAUGACAUAGGUUUCAUUUUUGGGUGAACUACUCCUCUGUGAGAGAAGUUUAUUUUCUUUAUAAGAUCAUGUUGUUUGCUGUCAUCUCUGAUGCAACACACAUCGACCUUCCGUAUGUAGAAAUGGAAUUACUUGGAUCCAAUUCUGCCAGAUCUUUGCUCAACACUUCAGUCCAGAUACCACCACUCUUACUGUAUUUUGGGUUUGUGUGUGGUCAGUCAGGUAUCAGGGAUGCUGUGUCAUUUUUAGCCCCUGCAUGUGUUUCUACUGUUGGUGCAGAAAUUCAAUGGUGCCGCAUAUACUCCAUGGUGCAGCUUCAUGGUGCUUCAUUCUUUCUCACUUUCUCCUGGCUUGCGUUCUGCUUCAGGUUCAGCUCGGCUACAUUCACACCGCAGUUGCGUGAUUUCUGGCCCAGAUCUAUUUUUUAAUGAUUUUGAUGAAAAAUCAUGUUAUCAUUUUCCAUUUGAGGCACUUUCAUACGUGGAAAUUAAUCACGGAAACAUGCAAUGUGGUUCAUGCAAUUGUUAACAUCACUACUGGUCAAAAGUUUGGGGUCAAUAAGAUUUUUUUUUGAAAGAUUAACAUGUUUAAUCAACAAGGAUGCAUUCAAUUGAUUCAAUGUCACAAUGAAGACAUUUAUAAUGUUACAUAAGAUUUAUACAGUAUUUCAAGUAAAUGCAGGUCUUAAUAAAUAAUGGAACUUUCUAUUCAUCAAAAAAUCGUCACAAAAUAUGAAGCAACUGUUUUCAACACUGAUAAUACUAAGAAAUGUUUCUUGGAGGAUCAUGUGACACUGAAGAUUGGAGUAAUGCUUAAAAUUCAGCUGUGCAUCACAGAAAUAAAUAACAUUUUAUUCAAAUAGAAAACAGAUAUUUUAAAUUGUAAUAAUAUUUCACAAUAUUGCUGGUUUUACUGUUUGAUAAAGUAAAUGCAGCAUUAGUGAGCAUAAGAGACUUUGAAAAAGAUUGAAAAAUCUUACUGACCUCAAACUUUUAAUUGCGAUAAUUGGAUGAUUGAUUUAACCUUGGUGUAAAUUUGAAUAAUUUUUCAAUUCUACUCUAUGAGGAGAUUGUAAUAUUUACAUAAAAUAUGUAAAUAAAUUAAAUGUCUUCAAAUGUCUUUAUAGAAAAACUGUGGUGUCCUAAAGUCAGGGGUCACACUGAAAAUCUGGGAUUCAAAGUGUAAUUUGAAAAUAAGCAGAUUUAUUUAUAGGAUUUAGAAAAAAAGAAAUUGACAAAAUUAAUAGAAAAAUAUUUCCAAUUCUGAAUCAGGCUCUUGCGAUGUGAACAUAGCCUUUCUCUCUCAUGCUGAACUACGUACGAAUCAGCCUACGUGCUAAUCUACAGGCUGACUAGUAUUCUGACCAUUCUGGUUUUUGACAGUCUUGACAUAUUCAGUGCUCCUUUGCUCAGGAUUCUGGGAAAGUGGCCCAUCUGUGUGAUGUCAUAAAAGCUGGUCACAUGGUGCUCCCAGAAUCCAGAGUCCUCUUGUGGUGCAAGUGGAGAGUUCACACUUGGCUUUUCACUUCACAAGACAUUAACUGAUGGACUGGAGCGGUGUGGAUUGCUUGUGGAUUAUUGUGAUGUUUUUAUCAGCUGUUUGGACUCUCAUUCUGAUGGCACCCAUUCACUGCAGUGGAUCCACUGGUGAGCAAGUCAUGCAAUUUCUCCAAAUCCGUUCUCAUGAAGAAACAAACUCAUCUACAUCUUGGAAAGCCUGAGGGUGAGGAAAUUUUCAGUAAAUUUGUUUUCUUUUAACGCCAACCCAAUAAUUUCAGAUAUUUUAUUUCGCUCCAGUAUCAUUUAGAGGCAGAAAAUUUCACUGAUGUUGAAAAGGAACAUCUAAAAUGCAGGAUGUUCUCCUUUUAAGGUUGGCUUGGUAGAAUCUGACUCCUUUAGCAGGAUCUUCGUGGCACUGUGCUGGGUCGAACCGCUCGUAGCCUUAGAGUCUGUUUGUGUUUGUUUGGUGAAGGCUGGUGAAUCUUGUAACGCAGCGUGAGGUUUGAUUGUUAUUAGUCGAGACUUCAGUGGUAAAUGAAUUGUACAUUUAUAAGUUUGCCUCUUUUUUUUAGAAAUUUAUUACAUUUUGUGUGCUGGGUGUUUUUAAAUUCAUUUAGAGUAAUUCUGACGUGAUUAUUGGCUAGUGUAUGAUUAUAUGCAUGGAU
ensembl:lncRNA